UGAUACUCACUGUCACUGUGCUAUAUUUUGUUUCAGGGUGAUGGGUGCUGCUGCGCUUCAAAAAUAUAUCGGUAGCUUAGGUGGAAUUGGGGCAUCUGGUGUCGGUUCUAGUUCAUCAUAUUCCCCAAAAGAGAUGAAUAAGGAUAUCAUGCCUGAGAAGAAUGUCAAGACAUUUAAAGACGUCAAAGGUUGCGAUGAUGCAAAAAAGGAACUUGAGGAGGUAGUUGAGUAUCUCAAAAAUCCUUCAAAGUUCACUCGCCUUGGUGGAAAGCUACCGAAGGGAAUACUUUUGACUGGUGCUCCAGGAACUGGGAAGACACUACUUGCGAAGGCCAUUGCUGGAGAAGCUGGUGUACCAUUUUUUUACCGAGCAGGUUCAGAAUUUGAGGAAAUGUUUGUUGGUGUUGGUGCUCGGAGAGUGAGGUCAUUGUUUCAAGCCGCAAAGAAGAAGGCACCAUGCAUUGUCUUCAUUGAUGAAAUAGAUGCUGUGGGUUCAACUAGAAAGCAGUGGGAAGGGCACACAAAGAAAACACUGCAUCAACUUCUUGUUGAGAUGGAUGGGUUUGAACAGAAUGAGGGAAUAAUUGUAAUGGCUGCAACAAACUUGCCAGAUAUUCUUGACCCUGCACUCACGCGACCCGGUAGAUUUGAUAGGCAUAUUGUUGUCCUAAGCCCAGAUGUGCGGGGUCGCCAAGAGAUUCUGGAGCUCUAUUUGCAAGACAAGCCGGUGGCCAAUGAUGUAGAUAUCAACGCGAUUGCCCGUAGUACACCUGGUUUUAAUGGGGCAGACCUUGCGAACCUUGUAAACAUUGCAGCAAUUAAGGCUGCAGUUGAAGGUGCUGACAAGUUGACUGCUGCACAAUUGGAGUUUGCCAAAGACCGUAUUAUCAUGGGAACUGAGAGGAAAUCAAUGUUCAUAUCUAAUGAAUCGAGAAAGCUUACUGCCUACCAUGAAAGUGGACAUGCUAUUGUUGCACUCAACACCCAGGGUGCUAACCCCAUUCACAAGGCAACUAUCCUUCCUCGUGGGUCUGCCCUUGGAAUGGUCACGCAACUUCCCUCACAAGAUGAGACUUCUAUUAGCAAGAAACAACUCCUGGCACGUCUUGAUGUUUGCAUGGGUGGGAGGGUUGCUGAAGAGCUGAUCUUUGGGGAAGACAAUGUUACAACUGGGGCACGAAAUGAUCUUCAUACUGCAACGGAGCUUGCCCAGUACAUGGUAUCAAACUGUGGGAUGAGUGAUGCUAUUGGUCCUGUGCAUGUGAAAGAGCGACCAAGUGUAGAGAUGCAAUCGAGGAUAGAUGCUGAGAUAUGCAGCUCACCUGCGUAUUCGAGAAAAAAGUGGCUGCGAUUUCCUCUUGCAUUUUUCUGAUAACAUGGCCUUGCAGGUAGUGAAGCUUCUAAGAGAGGCUUAUGGGCGGGUAAAGCGUCUGCUUAAGAAGCACGAGAAGCAAUUACAUGCGUUAGCGAAUGCGUUGCUGGAGCACGAAACACUUACUGCGGAUGAGAUCAACAAAGUAGUUCAUCCAUACCAAGAAGAGCCCCAGUUCUCCUUCCAAGAUGAGGAGUUUGCCCUCACUUAAAAGAUUCUUUCGUUACAUCCAGACAGCAUUCACCAACUGUGAAUUGUAAAUCCAUGUACAGUAAGUGGUGCCUAGAUGAACCAUGGAAGUUCUUUCAGACGUCUCCCUUCUGUAAAGUGGGGUACAAAACCUGUGGUGCAUUUUCUUCUCGGCACCAUUUUCCUUUGGUGAACAGGCAAGCAUCAGAAGAAGAUAUUUGCAAAGGGUGAUGCAAGCUUAUCGAUAAUUCUUUCAUUGGAAGACCACCAUGCUCCCUUGGCAAAGCUUUGGAUUGCAAAGCCCCUCCAUACUUUUAGUUUAGCUAGGAGAGAUAUAGGUGUAACAUUGCAUGUUCUGAAGGCUAGGUUUCUGGCUAGGGAGACAUCUUUUUACAAUGUUCUUUUCACCUUUUUCUUUUUACAUUUGUUGUAAGGAGCUCGUACAUAUAAAGGUUGGUGCCAAAUAAACAUUGAUUCACUCUUUGUACUAAGUUAAUCUUUUCUAAGUUUAUACCAAAUGAAUGCAUUGUCAAGAUAUUAUUUUA